GAAUGUGCACUAUCCUCAAUACAGGGGCUCUUCGCGUAAGCGCACUGCUCCGUUGCGACCCGAGCAUGCGCAAUGUGGGCUGUCACUGGAGCUGCAUGGAAAGGAUAGGAAGUGAUCGAGUGCAGUUGAGUAAUGGAGCCGGUGGCUGGGGUACUGGAAGUGGAGGAUUGACAAAAAGGAAACUCAAACCAAACUUCACAUCAAGAUCUGACAAAGGCACUCACGUCAUCAGAACCAAAAUAUCAGCAGCAUCUGAAUGUGGAAGGGUAUUAGAAGGGGAGGAUUUGCAGUCGGGAAACUGAAACCAAACAUCACAUCAGGAUCUGAUGGAACCUCUCAAUUUAUCAGGACGGGAAUGUCAUCAGCCUUGGAACAUGGAAGGAAAAAGCACCGUUCACGCUGGUGAGAAACCCUAUAAAUGUGGGGACUGUGGGAAGGUGUUCAAUUACUCAUCUCAGUUGGAAAUUCAUCGGCGCAGUCACACUGGGGAGCGGCCGUUUACCUGCUCCGAGUGUGGGAAGGGAUUCACUCAGUCAUCCAACCUGCUGCAACACCAAAGGGUUCACACUGGGGAGAGGCCGUUCAGGUGCUCUCACUGCGGGACUGGCUUCAGGCGAUCAGGUGACCUCACCACACACCAGCGAGUUCACACCAGGGAGAGGCUAUUCACCUGCUGUGUGUGGGCAGGGAUUCAAUCAUUUUUCUGUCCUGACGAGGGAGAAUUUAAAUGCUGUAACUGUGAAAAGAGCUUUAAAAGCCCACGUUCACUGAUGGAACACCAGCGCAUUCACACCAGUUCCAUGCUGUUCAGCUGCUCUGAGUGUGGGAAGAGUUUCAGGGGAUCCUCCACCCUGCUGAAACACCAAUGCACUCACAUCGGGGAGAGGCCGUUCAGCUGCUCCGAGUGUGGGAAGGGAUUCACUCGGUCAUCCAAUCUGUUGAGGCAUUGGCACGUUCACUCAGACAAGAGACCAUUUAAAUGUCCAGACUGUGGGAAAUGCUUUAAAUGGUCAGAGAAACUGAUGUCCCAUCAACUUGUUCACACUGACGAGAGACUGUUCACAUGUUCUCACUGCGGGACUGGGUUCAGGUGAGCAGGUGAUCUCACUGCACACCAGCGAGUUCACACUGGUGAGAGGCCGUUCACCUGCUCUGAGUGUGGGAAGGGAUUCACUCCUUUAUCUCAUCUUACUACACAUCACCUUGUUCAAACGGAUACGAGACCUUUUCAAUGUUCUGACUGUGAGAAGCGCUUUAAAAGCAGAAAUGAUCUGUUGAAACAUCAGUAAAUUCACACUGGGGAGAGGCCAUUCACCUGCUCUGUGUGUGAGAAGAGAUUUACUCGUUCAUCCAACCUGCUGAAACAUCAGCGAAUUCACAAGUGAUUACAGGGGUUGGAUUCUGCUGUUGUUGCUGCUGUUAAUCAAAUCCUGGACUAAACCAUGUCCAUUCUGACAGUUGGGGUUGAUCUCUAAUGUCAGUUGCCCAGGUUAGACUUAGCAUGUACCUGCACCGUCUCUCAAUCCUGUGUGAAUAGACCAUCAUGUCUGCAAACCUUGUUUUUAAAUUUAAAUCCACUCAGAAACUGUAUUGAACUAAAGAUGAACAGAUCAUAGUGCAAUCCUGCAGCUCUAUAUUGAUGGGAGAAAGCCUGUUCUGUAACUCGAGGAUGAGGCUCGGUAAGCUCUGAUUGUUUAUAAUCACAAGUGGGUUCGAGCUAUUUGAGAGACAGGCUGUUCAAAGUUGUUAACUUGUCAGACAUUGAAGGAAUUACUCUGAAAAUAAACUCACCAAUUGAUAACCCCAGACUCUGCUCCCUGCUGUAGUUAAUACUCAGCAUCCAUUUGUGCUGAUUUGCAGUGAAUCACUGAAUAUCCUGUGGAGUCUUUGUUCCUUGUUCUCUCCCCAUUAGUGUUGAACUGCCGGCUAACUCUGAUUACAUUUAGACAUGUCUAGAAAGGGUCUGUGUGCCCACAUUUCACUGAGAUUUGAAAACAAUAAACAAUG